rnacentral:rRNA from 1 species
CACAAGCGGUGGAGCAUGUGGUUAAUUCGAAGCAACGCGAAGAACCUUACCAGGUCUUGACAUCCCGAUGCUAUUUCUAGAGAUAGAAAGUUACUUCGGUACAUCGGUGACAGGUGGUGCAUGGUUGUCGUCAGCUCGUGUCGUGGGAUGUUGGGUUAAGUCCCGCAACGAGCGCAACCCCUAUUGUUAGUUGCCAUCAUUCAGUUGGGCACUCUAGCGAGACUGCCGGUAAUAAACCGGAGGAAGGUGGGGAUGACGUCAAAUCAUCAUGCCCCUUAUGACCUGGGCUACACACGUGCUACAAUGGUUGGUACAACGAGUUGCGAGUCGGUGACGGCGAGCUAAUCUCUUAAAGCCAAUCUCAGUUCGGAUUGUAGGCUGCAACUCGCCUACAUGAAGUUGGAAUCGCUAGUAAUCGCGGAUCAGCACGCCGCGGUGAAUACGUUCCCGGGCCUU